GCAAUCUCCACGGUAGGUAAAGGGUUCUCACUGAAGGAAAUAAGAUCAGGACCAAAUUGUCAGAAACGGACAGCAAAAUCACUUCAAAAUCAUGGAUGACCAAUGAUGCUUCACUGGUGACUCUUCUUAAGGCACAAAGGCGUACGUCCUCUGGUGCCAGCUGAGCUGUCCUCGGAUGCUGUAGGCGAUGGUAGUGACAAACUCUCCUCCGAGGCCCAGCUCAGAGCAGAGCUUCAAAGCAAACGUUUCUGAAUACUGUCGGUGGGGUAGGACUCUAUCUGCUGUCUAAUUGCAGAGGCGAUGGCAGGGACGAAGGUGAAGGCGUCUCUGAGUUUCUGCCCAUCAAUCUCCAUAUCUAGGCGGAUGGGCACCAGGACCUCCGCUUGGGAAGCAUUUUCAUGGAUGACUGCAGGGUCGUGGUCAUCAAAACUAUGCAUUGAAGAAAAGCAGAAU